CAGCAGCCGCGGUAAUACGUAGGUGGCAAGCGUUGUCCGGACUUAUUGGGCGUAAAGCGCGCGCAGGCGGUUCCUUAAGUCUGAUGUGAAAUCUCGCGGCUCAACCGCGAGCGGCCAUUGGAAACUGGGGAACUUGAGUGCAGGAGAGGGGAGCGGAAUUCCACGUGUAGCGGUGAAAUGCGUAGGGAUGUGGAGGAACACCAGUGGCGAAGGCGGCUCUCUGGCCUGUAACUGACGCUGAGGCGCGAAAGCGUGGGGAGCGAACAGGAUUAGAUACCCUGGUAGUCCACGCCGUAAACGAUGAGUGCUAAGUGUUAGAGGGUAUCCACCCUUUAGUGCUGCAGCAAACGCAUUAAGAACUCCGCCUGGGGAGUACGGCCGCAAGGCUGAAACUUAAAGGAAUUGGCGGG
rnacentral:rRNA from 1 species